AUGAGAAAGUUGGGAGCGGGCUGCCGGCGAUCUCAAUCAGUUCCCGGUCACACCGGGAAAAUCCCAAAAGGCCGGCGGAACACCGAAAAGGGGGGGGGGGGGGGGGGGGCGCCUCCAACACGUGAUCGUGGCGACGGAGGGAGGCGGGGCGGGUCCCACCGAAGGGCGGGGUCGCGAGAUCCCGACGUCAGAGGAAUGCGGUGGGGGGAGGGGGGAGGGGGGAGAGGGGCCCCCUCCCCUCCCCGCCCCCGCGCCCGGCCCGUACGCCCCUCGCGCCGACGCGCGCUGCCGGGACGCGGCGGAACCGUCCUCGGCGCCGCGCGUUCCGGGUCGCCCGCCCGCUCACACCCUCGGCGGGCGGCCGGGCCGUCGCGUUCCCCGCACCGCCAGGCUCCCGGCCUCCGCCCCUCCCCCACCCCCUGCGCUCCGGCGGCGGGCGGCGCCUCCCCCCCGCCCCCCGCCCCCCGCCCCGACCCCUCGCCCCCAGCCCCUACCAGCUCGGCGGCGAGCCUGGCCGGCCGUCCGGGAUCGAAAAGAGCAGACACUGGGAAGUUUUGGGGGAGGGAGGGGCGGGCCUUAAAGGGACCACGACCUCUUUUCAGCCUGGGAAAAAAAAACGGGGGGGGGGAGAUCGAGAGUUGCUCUGCGUUUGAAUGGAGGAAACAACGCCAGAAGGGAAUGGAAAGACUGGUGCGCCGUCGCGUUAGGGCUCCGCGUCCCUUUUCCCCAAACACCCCAACUCCUCACUCCACCUCCCCCCUCGCCAUCUCGGGAAGUCACGCAGAGGCUUGGCGGUCACGCCUCAUUCCUCCCAGGCAGCCAAGUGCUGUGUUCGUGGAGGUUAAUGUUGGGGUGCACGUUGUACGGAUGGGGGAAUGGGCUCAGGGGACGCAAGCGGCGAAUCGAGGAUCCCGCAGCUUCUGGAGGUUGGGGUUCCCUUGGCUGGUAUCCUUUUUCUUUUUUAACAUUAAUUAAUUAAUUAAUUUAUUUAUUUAUUUGGGGGUGGGGGUGGAGUGCAAGCAGGAGCAGAGGGAGAGGGACAAGCAGACUCUGCUGAGAGCGUGACAGAGGGCUUGAUCUCAUGACCUGAGCCAAAAUCAAGAGUUGGAGUCCAGACGUCCCUAAGAUUUCUUUUUAUUUUAUUUUAUUUUAUUUAUUUAUUCAUGAGAGACACACACAGAGAGAGAGGCAAAGACAUAGGUAGGGGGAGAAGGAGGCUCCAUGCAGGGAGCCCGACACGGGACUCGAUCCCAGGACUCCAGGAUCAGGCCCAGGGCUGAAGGCGGCGCUAAACCGGUGAGCCACUCAGGCUGCCCCCAUCCCUAAAAUUUCUUUAAUUAAAAAAAAUUAAGGGGCAGGGCGGCUGGGUGGCUCAGUCAGUUAAGGUUUGACUUCAGCUUAGGUCAUGACCUCGGGGUCCUGGGAUCAAGCCUUGCAUUGGCUCCCUGCUCAGCUGGGAGCCUGCUUCUCCCUCUGCCCCUCCCCCUGCUCGUGCUCUCUCUCUCUCUCUCUCUCUCUCUCACUCUCUCUCUAAUAAAUAAAAUCUUUAAAGAAAAUAUUAAGGGGUUCAGUUGGUAGAUCAUUUCAGUGGUUGUGAGUUUGAGCCCCAUGUUGGGUGUGGAGAUCACUUAAAAAUAAAAUCAUAAGGGGUGCUUGGGGGCUGUUGGUUGAGCAGUCUUCCUUCAGCUCAGGUCAUGAUCCCGGGGUCCUGGGAUUAAGCCCCACAUUGGGCUCCCUGCUCAUCUGGGAGCCUGCUUCUCUC
rnacentral:lncRNA from 1 species